rnacentral:rRNA from 1 species
UGGCAAGUUAUGAAGAGCACACGGUGGAUGUCUUGGCACCAGGAGCCGAUGAAGGACGUAGGAGGCUGCGAAAAGCCUCGGGGAGCUGCCAACCGAGCUGUGAUCCGAGGGUGUCCGAAUGGGGAAACCCGGCCUCAGUCAUGUGGGGUCACCCGCGCCUGAAUAUAUAGGGUGUGUGGAGGGAACGUGGGGAAGUGAAACAUCUCAGUACCCACAGGAAGAGAAAACAACCGUGAUUCCGUGAGUAGUGGCGAGCGAAAGCGGAUGAGGCUAAACCAUGGACGUGUGAUACCUGGCAGGGGUUGCGUUUGUGGGGUCGUGGGAUAUUGCUUGUCUGGGCUGCUGACCAGGCGGGAAGUCAGAAAACAGUGUGUUAGUGGAAUCAGUUUGGGAAACUGGACCGUAGAGGGUGAUAGUCCCGUACGCGAAAACAUGCUGUCUUCCUUGCAAUGCUCCCAAGUAGCAGCGAGCUCGUGGAAUUUGCUGUGAAUCUGGCGGGACCACCCGCUAAGCCUAAAUACUCCCUGGUGACCGAUAGCGGACUAGUACCGUGAGGGAAAGAUGAAAAGUACCCCGGGAGGGGAGUGAAAGAGUACCUGAAACCGUGUGCUUACAAUCCGUCAGAGCCUCCUUUGCAGGGGUGAUGGCGUGCCUUUUGAAGAAUGAGCCUGCGAGUUAGUGGUACGUGGCGAGGUUAACCUGUGUGGGGUAGCCGUAGCGAAAGCGAGUCCGAAUAGGGCGUUUUAGUCGCGUGCUCUAGACCCGAAGCGGGGUGAUCUAGCCAUGGCCAGGGUGAAGCGCGGGUAAGACCGUGUGGAGGCCCGAACCCACCAGGGUUGAAAACCUGGGGGAUGAGCUGUGGUUAGGGGUGAAAGGCCAAUCAAACUCCGUGAUAGCUGGUUCUCCCCGAAAUGCAUUUAGGUGCAGCGUCGCGUGUUUCGUGGUGGGGGUAGAGCACUGGAUGGCCUAGGGGGCCUACAAGCUUACUGAAGUCAACCAAACUCCGAAUACCAUUACGUGAGAGCGCGGCAGUGAGACUGCGGGCGAUAAGGUUCGUAGUCGAGAGGGAAACAGCCCAGAACACCAGCUAAGGCCCCAAAGUGUGUGCUAAGUGGGAAAGGAUGUGGGGUCGCCCAGACAACCAGGAGGUUGGCUUAGAAGCAGCCACCCUUUAAAGAGUGCGUAAUAGCUCACUGGUCAAGUGGUCCUGCGCCGACAAUGUAGCGGGGCUUAAGCACACCGCCGAAGCUGUGUCAUUCGCACAUGUGAUCCGCGUCAGCUUGCUGGCGUGCAGUCGUGUGGAUGGGUAGGGGAGCGUCGUGUGGGGGAUGAAGCGGCAGGGGAACCUAGCCGUGGACUCUACGCGAGUGAGAAUGCAGGCAUGAGUAGCGAAUGACGAGUGAGAAACUCGUCCGCCGGAUGACCAAGGGUUCCUGGGCCAGGCUAAUCCGCCCAGGGUAAGUCGGGACCUAAGGCGAGGCCGACAGGCGUAGUCGAUGGACAACGGGUUGAUAUUCCCGUACCCGUGUAAACGCGUCCAUGGUGAGGCUAGUGAUGCUAACCGCCCGCGAGCCGCUGAGUCUUCGGAUGAGGUGGGGAGUGCGCGGGAUCCGAUCUAGUAGUAGUCAAGCGAUGGGGUGACGCAGGAAGGUAGCUCCGCCAGUGAGUGGUAGUACUGGUGUAAGCGUGUAGGCUGUCAGGGUAGGCAAAUCCGUCCUGAUGUGUGGCUGAGACGUGAUGCGUAGCCGAUUGAGGCGAAGUAGAGUGAUCCUAUGCUGUCGAGAAAAGCCUCUAGCGAGUGUUUAUGCGGCCCGUACCCCAAACCGACACAGGUGGUCAGGUAGAGAAUACCGAGGCGUUCGGGUGAACUGUGGUUAAGGAACUCGGCAAAAUGCCCCCGUAACUUCGGGAGAAGGGGGGCCGAGGGACUUGAAGCCCCUUGCGGGCUAGGGUUUUUCGGCCGCAGAGAGCAGCGAGAAGCGACUGUUUACUAAAAACACAGGUCCAUGCGAAGUCGUAAGACGAUGUAUAUGGACUGACGCCUGCCCGGUGCUGGAACGUUAAGGGGACCGGUUAGUCUUUCGGGGCGAAGCUGAGAACUUAAGCGCCAGUAAACGGCGGUGGUAACUAUAACCAUCCUAAGGUAGCGAAAUUCCUUGUCGGGUAAGUUCCGACCUGCACGAAUGGCGUAACGACUUCUCGACUGUCUCAACCACAGGCCCGGUGAAAUUGCAUUACGAGUAAAGAUGCUCGUUACGCGCGGCAGGACGGAAAGACCCCGGGACCUUUACUAUAGCUUGGUAUUGGUGCUCGGUUCGGCUUGUGUAGGAUAGGUGGGAGACUGUGAAGCUGGCACGCCAGUGCUGGUGGAGUCGUCGUUGAAAUACCACUCUGGUCGUUCUGGGUGUCUAACCUCGGACCGUGAUCCGGUUCAGGGACAGUGCCUGGUGGGUAGUUUAACUGGGGCGGUUGCCUCCCAAAGGGUAACGGAGGCGCUCAAAGGUUCCCUCAGCCUGGUUGGCAAUCAGGUGUUGAGUGCAAGUGCACAAGGGGGCUUGACUGUGAGACUGACGGGUCGAGCAGGGACGAAAGUCGGAACUAGUGAUCCGGCCAUGGCUUGUGGAAGCGUGGUCGCUCAACGGAUAAAAGGUACCCCGGGGAUAACAGGCUGAUCUUGCCCAAGAGUCCAUAUCGACGGCAUGGUUUGGCACCUCGAUGUCGGCUCGUCGCAUCCUGGGGCUGGAGUAGGUCCCAAGGGUUGGGCUGUUCGCCCAUUAAAGCGGUACGCGAGCUGGGUUUAGAACGUCGUGAGACAGUUCGGUCCCUAUCCGCCGUGCGCGUUGGAGAUUUGAGGAAGGCUGUCCCUAGUACGAGAGGACCGGGAUGGACGGACCUCUGGUGUGCCAGUUGUCCCGCCAGGGGCAUGGCUGGUUGGCUACGUUCGGGAGAGAUAACCGCUGAAAGCAUCUAAGCGGGAAGCUUGUUCCAAGAUGAGAUCUCCUACCUCCUUGAGAGGGUAAGGCCUCCUAUAGACGAUGGGGUUGAUAGGCCAGAGAUGGAAGCUCGGUAACGGGUGGAGUUGACUGGUACUAAUAGGCCGAGGGCUUGUUUAC